UACAGAGGGGGCAAGCGUUGUUCGGAAUUACUGGGCGUAAAGGGCGCGUAGGCGGCUUAUCAAGUCAGGCGUGAAAUUCCCGGGCUCAACCUGGGGGCUGCGCUUGAUACUGAUGAGCUUGAAUGCGGGAGAGGAUAGUGGAAUUCCCAGUGUAGAGGUGAAAUUCGUAGAUAUUGGGAAGAACACCGGUGGCGAAGGCGGCUAUCUGGCCCGUAAUUGACGCUGAGGCGCGAAAGCGUGGGGAGCAAACAGG
rnacentral:rRNA from 1 species